ACUGGAGAUAAUGGAAAUGCAACCAGAUCUGACUUUUCUGGCUAUCCUGGAGUGGGAGCUCGAGCAAGACUAUGCUCGCCUAUUUAACCGAGUAACACCGCCUGUCUCUGACAUGAUGGGGUUUAUUGACUGUACACCACCGGGAGUGUUGAGUUUCGUCCCUCCUCCCCAGCAACUAAGCCUGUCAUCAGGAGACCUGGGUAUUGUACCACCUACUUCCCAACCAGCCCCAGAAAUAAGAGACCUUACCGACUGGUCCUGGGAAGACCCCCAGUUGGCAGGUGGAGACGGGACCGAGGUCUCUCCACCGGCCCUACAGGGAUGCUGGGCAGCCAGCCCAGAUCUCCAACUCCAGAUGGAGGUUUUGCAGGAAGUGGAGACAACCGGUCUCACUCCCCA